AAGUCGUAACAAGGUCUCCGUUGGUGAACCAGCGGAGGGAUCAUUACCAGAGUGCCCCCAGGCUCUGCCGACCCUUGAGAACAAUACCCGACGAAACGUUGCCUCGGCGCGCCCCAGGGCCGCCGGCGGCCCCCCACCAGACUCGUUGCGACGUGUGCUCUGACUACCUUUUGGAAAUGAUAAAAACUUUCAGCAAUGGAUCUCUUGGCUCUG
rnacentral:misc_RNA from 1 species